UACGAAGGGUGCAAGCGUUAUUCGGAUUUACUGGGCGUAAAGCGCGCGCAGGCGGAUGUGCAAGUCAGAUGUGAAAUCUCGGGGCUCAACCCCGAAACUGCGUCUGAAACUGCUCAUCUAGAGUAUCGAAGGGGGAAGUGGAAUUUCGCAUGUAGGGGUAAAAUCCGUAGAGAUGCGAAGGAACACCAGAGGCGAAGGCGACUUCCUGGUCGAUUACUGACGCUGAGGCGCGAAAGCGUGGGGAGCAAACAGG
rnacentral:rRNA from 1 species